CUGGCAUUCAGAAAACAGAGAGGAGACUGUAAGCCAGAGAAGGCUUCCUGGAGGACAGAAGGGUGGUUGUAAGCAAAAGGAUGGAGCUAGAUCAUGAAGGACCUGGGAAGCCAAAUGGAGUCACUGUGGUUUUUUCGGAAGAACAUGAAUUAAACAACAACAACAACAACAUGAUUCUUAAGAGAGACUCUUCACGUGUGAGAACACCCUGUUAUAAAAGCUUUCAAGAGAGAAAUGAACAAGAUGCCUAGAGAAGCACCAUGUGGUUCAAGGACAAGGGUCUAUCAUGCCUGACAAAGACAACUCUCAAAAUUUAUAGGUCACUUUCACUUUGGAAUAUACGAGUAAAACUCCUAAAUAAACUUUA